rnacentral:rRNA from 1 species
CAGUAGCCGCGGUAAUACGUAGGGUGCAAGCGUUAAUCGGAAUUACUGGGCGUAAAGCGUGCGCAGGCGGUUAUAUAAGACAGAUGUGAAAUCCCCGGGCUCAACCUGGGAACUGCAUUUGUGACUGUAUAGCUAGAGUACGGCAGAGGGGGAUGGAAUUCCGCGUGUAGCAGUGAAAUGCGUAGAUAUGCGGAGGAACACCGAUGGCGAAGGCAAUCCCCUGGGCCUGUACUGACGCUCAUGCACGAAAGCGUGGGGAGCAAACAGGAUUAGAUACCCUGUAGUCCCUGUCUCUUAUACA